UAAUACGUAGGGUGCAAGCGCUAAUCGGAAUUACUGGGCGUAAAGCGUGCGCAGGCGGUCAUGCAAGACAGAUGUGAAAUCCCCGGGCUUAACCUGGGAACCGCAUUUGUGACUGCAUGGCUUGAGUACGGUAGAGGGAGAUGGAAUUCCGCGUGUAGCAGUGAAAUGCGUAGAUAUGCGGAGGAACACCGAUGGCGAAGGCAAUCUCCUGGACCUGUACUGACGCUCAUGCACGAAAGCGUGGGGAGCAAACAGGAUUAGAUACCCUGGUAGUCCACGCCCUAAACGAUGUCAACUGGUUGUUGGGAGGGUUUCUUCUCAGUAACGUAGCUAACGCGUGAAGUUGACCGCCUGGGGAGUACGGCCGCAAGGUU
rnacentral:rRNA from 1 species